rnacentral:rRNA from 1 species
UGAGUAAUGUCUGGGAAACUGCCCGAUGGAGGGGGAUAACUACUGGAAACGGUAGCUAAUACCGCAUAACGUCUUCGGACCAAUUGGGAACUCCCCCCAAAACACCAUCGGAUGUGCCCAGAUGGGAUUAGCUAGUAGGUGGGGUAAUGGCUCACCUAGGCGACGAUCCCUAGCUGGUCUGAGAGGAUGACCAGCCACACUGGAACUGAGACACGGUCCAGACUCCUACGGGAGGCAGCAGUGGGGAAUAUUGCACAAGGGGGCGCACCCCUGAUGCACCCAUGCCGCGGGGUAUAAGAAGAAGGCCUUCGGGUUGUAAAGUACUUUCAGUGGGGAGGAAGGCGUUAAGGUUAAUAACCUUGACGAUUGACGUUACCCGCAGAAGAAGCACCGGCUAACUCCGUGCCAGCAGCCGCGGUAAUACGGAGGGUGCAAGCGUUAAUCGGAAUUACUGGGCGUAAAGCGCACGCAGGCGGUCUGUCAAGUCGGAUGUGAAAUCCCCGGG